rfam:Frankia sp. EAN1pec, complete genome.
CCGGCUCCGGUUCACGCCGUCCGCUCCCGCGGCGGCGACCCGGCGGCC